rnacentral:rRNA from 1 species
GAUGAACGCUGGCGGCGUGCUUAACACAUGCAAGUCGAACGGUGAACCAGGUGCUUGCACUUGGGGAUCAGUGGCGAACGGGUGAGUAACACGUGAGCAACCUGCCCCUGACUCUGGGAUAAGCGCUGGAAACGGCGUCUAAUACUGGAUACGAGUAGCGAUCGCAUGGUCAGCUACUGGAAAGAUUUUUUGGUUGGGGAUGGGCUCGCGGCCUAUCAGCUUGUUGGUGAGGUAAUGGCUCACCAAGGCGUCGACGGGUAGCCGGCCUGAGAGGGUGACCGGCCACACUGGGACUGAGACACGGCCCAGACUCCUACGGGAGGCAGCAGUGGGGAAUAUUGCACAAUGGGCGGAAGCCUGAUGCAGCAACGCCGCGUGAGGGAUGACGGCCUUCGGGUUGUAAACCUCUUUUAGCAGGGAAGAAGCGGAAGUGACGGUACCUGCAGAAAAAGCGCCGGCUAACUACGUGCCAGCCGCCGCAGUAACAC